AGAUGCUCAGCAAGCUGAACUGAAGAAAAAGAUACAGAAAUCCCUGCCUGAACUUGGCUGGAGUAAAGUCAGCAAAAAUUCAGCGAUGGUGAUUCUGGAUCCGGACACGGCUCACCCCAGCCUCCUGGUCUCUGAGAAUCGGCGAUCUGUGAAAUGGAGGG